rnacentral:ncRNA from 1 species
AGAUGAGAGAAACACCCCGCUCGCAGGAGACUGCGGGCGACGCCGGGACGGAGCCUCCCCAGCCCCGUUCCGCACGUGCCCUCGCGCACACCGCCGGAGCUUCGGGCUCCGGGACUCCUCACCGAUCGGA